rnacentral:rRNA from 1 species
AUUGAACGCUGGCGGCAGGCCUAACACAUGCAAGUCGAACGAGUGGCGGACGGGUGAGUAAUGUCUGGGAAUCUGCCUGAUGGAGGGGGAUAACUACUGGAAACGGUGGCUAAUACCGCAUACUAUCGGAUGUGCCCAGAUGGGAUUAGCUAGUAGGUGGGGUAACGGCUCACCUAGGCGACGAUCCCUAGCUGGUCUGAGAGGAUGACCAGCAACACUGGGACUGAGACACGGGCCAGACUCCUACGGGAGGCAGCAGUGGGGAAUAUUGCACAAUGGGCGCAAGCCUGAUGCAGCCAUGCCGCGUGUAUGAAGAAGGCCUUCGGGUUGUAAAGUACUGUCAUGGGGGAGGCGUUACUCGCAGAAGAAGCACAGGCUAACUCCGUGCCAGCAGCCGCGGUAAUUC